AUCCAAGGUUCAAAGGCACAUACUAAAACAAGUAAAUAGACUACUUUGGAUUUCAGAAGCAGAGCAGAGCAACAACUGCUUUUUCCUCUGGAGUCACCAGACAGUGCUAUGGGAGACAGGUUAUGUGUUGUAUCUCAGACACAGAGGCCAACAAGAGUAUGGGGCAGGUAGAGCUUCUGCUUCAGCAGUGUGUCCAUGUUCCAGGGACAUCAUUACUUUUGCCCCAUAUAGUUUACAGAAAAAAGAAAAAAAGAGUCAUGAGCUUAACUUCUUCCCAUCCCGCAGAUGUACAUCCAGCUCAUUAUCACUCCUAAAAAUAUUCUAAAUGGAAAAGUGAAUUAACCUAGAUUCACAGUGAACCACAGGAGUGCUAAUCAAUCUACAGCAGUAGCCCAAUCUGGAGGUUAGCAGAGCAUGAAGUUCAAAGGCCAAGACACCUCUGUCCAAGAAGGGUUGUAGCUGGCAAACCAGCCAUCGCUGGAAAUAGACACUCCUGAGACUACCAGAGGCUCCACUGAGAGUGCUGGAUCUAGGAGCACCUCCAAGCUACAGACCAGAUUCUUACAUUGGAGUGCAACCCUUUCCAGAAGAGGUCACCUCUCCAACCCAAGAACUUGGCAAAAACAACAACUCUGGAGGGUUUUUUUAGGAUUCAGAUUCAAUUUAAUGGCCCAUCACUGCCUCCAAGCCCUGGUCUAGCACCUGAACUGCCUCUCUUAAUUCAGAUGGGACAGGAGAGUCAAAGGGAACACAUUGCUUCAUGGCCCAAGUCUAUUCAUUGUCUUCACAAUUCAGAAUGCUGGAUUUCAGUCUAGACAGCCCUGAAUUACUUGGGUGCUAUGUGAUUUAGAGGCCUCAUGUCUUAUCACAUUCCUGUAUCUGCUGAGAGAACCCUUCACAUGAGUCGACCCGUUUGCCAAGUCUAUGGGUCACAGGAACACUAAAAAGUAAUCCAAGGAGGUGCUCCACCAUCACAGAAAACCCUUCCCUUUAAAUUACGGCAAUACAUUUAGCAAGCUUAAGCAUUUUCUAGAUGUGCUCAAAGACAUUAAUCGUGAUGUACUCAAGCAAAUGUUUCAGACAACAUCACACUCAUCCAGAGGAUAUAAUAUGCUCACACAGACAUUAUAGAAAUGUUUGAGGAUACGGUACUUACAUACUUUCCCAUUACCAAAGAAGUCAAGAAGUUGAAUAAUGCAAAGCAUCCAAAAAUGAGUCCAACUACCGUAUUACUAGCACCUUUCUUUUCUGCCUUAAAAAAAAGGGGGGGGGGAGAAAGAGGUUGUUCAGACACCAAGAACACAAAAACCUAUGGCAUACAGGAAAUAAUUAAAAUAGCUUAAACGUGACAAAACAUUGCUCAUGGGCACUGGAACUCCAAUUCAAAAUACUCUCAUGUCUCUCUUACCAGCAACUGAGUCCAAAGAAACAGAAGCCCACCGGAACACCAUAGUAGCUUGCUGCUGAACAACACUUGCAGUUAAUGUUCUGCUGAUCUAUAAGUUCUUGCUGCACAAAUCUUUUUUUUGGGGGGGGGGGGAAUGGAAAGUCACAUUGGCAAA